CAGUAGCCACGGUAAUGCAGAGGAUGCAAGCGUUAUCCGGAAUGAUUGGGCGUAAAGCGUCUGUAGGUGGCUUUUCAAGUCCGCCGUCAAAUCCCGGGGCUCAACCCCGGAACUGCCUUUGAUACUGGGAGUCUUGAGUUCGAGAGAGGUGAGUGGAAUUGCGAGUGUAGAGGUGAAAUUCGUAGAUAUUCGCAGGAACACCAGUGGCGAAGGCGGCUCACUGGCUCGAUACUGACGCUGAGGUGCGAAAGCGAGGGGAGCAAACAGGAUUAGAUACCCCCGUAGUCCCUGUCUCUUAUAA
rnacentral:rRNA from 1 species